UGUCACAUGAGUUGUGGUACUGAAGGCGUGGGUCAGGCGGGUGGACCUUGGAGCCGAGUGUUGACACGUUGCGAGGGAAUGUUGAUCUGUGGAUAUCCAUGAAUGAAGGAUCAAAGCCUCGUUCCGGCAGCGAAUCUUAUAUCGGAACGGUGUUCCGGACCAUUGCGGGCCACUUUCACCUCAGGUCAUAGGUCACACAGGUCAUAAAUAUGGAUGAGUCGGCAAGUGAGAACAGUGACAGCAGUGCACAAAGGGCGGAAGGAGGAACCGACACUUCCUGGAAGAGUGGGCUGUGUAACGGUGUUUGAUGAUACUGCCUGUCACCAUUGGACAACCACCCAGCUAAGCCUCCUGUUUGAAUGAAGCCACCUGCUACUGCAGUUUACUGGUUCAUCACCCCCGCCAGCCACCUAACAACUUGACUUUGAUAAAUAA